rfam:Triticum aestivum genome assembly, contig: Triticum_aestivum_CS42_TGACv1_scaffold_000814_1AL
UACAGAAGACUGACCUUUAGUCCCGGUUCCAGCCACCAACCGGGACUAAAAGGGCUGCGCCAGGAGCGAGGACCUUUAGUCCUGAUUCGUCUCUGGAACCGGGACUAAAUGGGUCAGACAAAC